UCAGCCUCGUUUUUGUUGCAAAACCUGGGUGGGGCGAGGCUGCCAUGGAGGUUGGACGAGGAAGUCACAUCUAGGGCAUUUCUGGUGGAGAAGUGGGAGAGGGAGGUGGUUCUGGAGGUGGAGCAGGGGGGGGAUCUCGAGGGGCCAUGCUGGGACGGAGGUGGAGGAGCACCAACGGGGUGGAGCGGGGCUGGAGGUGGAGGAGCAGCAAGGGGCAGAGAGAAUGAGACAAGAGAAGGAGAAGAAGAAGAGAAGAUCAUCACCCUCCGAUUUCUAUUGCUCAGGCUUCAAGGGGUGUGAGUGGAGGAGGGUGUGCACUGAUGCUUCCCUUUCCUUGGGUGUGAGGAAGCGUGUACAUUCACAAGGAAAAGAUGUGUGAAAUGGGCGUAAAUGACUGGUUGAUAUGUGCUCACGCAAUGGUGGUGAUGGGUCUGAGCGCCAAGACGCCCGACUAGAGG